CGUAGGUGCGAGCGUUGUCCGGAUUUAUUGGGCGUAAGAACUCGUAGGCGGUUUGUUGCGUCGGAAGUGAAAUCCUAUGGCUUAACUGUGGGCUUGCUUUCGAUACGGGCAGACUUGAGGGAGGUAGGGAGAACGGAAUUCCUGGUGGAGCGGUGGAAUGCGCAGAUAUCAGGAGGAACACCGGUGGCGAAAGGCGGUUCUCUGGACCUUUCCUGACGCUUGAGGAGCGAAAGCGUGGGAGCAAACAGGCUU
rnacentral:rRNA from 1 species